AGCAGCCGCGGUAAUUCCAGCUCCAAUAGCGUAUAUUAAAGUUGUUGCAGUUAAAAAGCUUGUAGUUGAAUUUCGGGGUCAGUAGGUUGGUCGUGCCACCGGUACGUACUGGUCUCACUGAUUCCUCCUUCCUGAUGAGCUGUAAUGCCAUUAAUUUGGUGUUGCAGGGAAUCUGGACUGUUACUUUGAAAAAAUUAGAGUGUUUAAAGCAGGCUAACGCUUGAAUACAUUAGCAUGGAAUAAUGAAAUAGGACGUUCGAUCCUAUUUUGUUGGUUUCUAGGAUUGACGUAAUGAUUAAUAGGGAUAGUUGGGGGCAUUAGUAUUCAAUUGUCAGAGGUGAAAUUCUUGGAUUUAUUGAAGACUAACUACUGCGAAAGCAUUUGCCAAGGAUGUUUUCAUUAAUCAAGAACGAAAGUUAGGGGAUCGAAGACGAUCAGAUACCGUCGUAGUCUUAACCAUAAACUAUGCCGACUAGGGAUCGGAUGAUGUUAAUUUUUUAAUGACUCA
rnacentral:rRNA from 1 species